UCUGUUGCCCAGGCUGGAGUGCAGUGGCACGAUCUCGGCUCACUGCUACAACCUCCACCUCCUGGGUUCGAGUGAUUCUCCUGCCUCAGCCUCCCGAGUAGCUGGGAUUACAGGUGGCUGCCACUACGUCUGGCUAAUUUUUGUAUUUUUAGUAGAGAUGGGGUUUCUCCAUGUUGGCCAGGAUGGUCUCGAACUCCUGACCUCGGGUGAUCCACCAUGCCCAGCCUAGAUUACAUUUUAAGCUUAGAAAUUAGGUAAGUUAUAGAAGGUAGUUCUGAGGGUUCUGUAUCUCUUAAUUGCUUAUACCUUUAAAUGGGAGCAGAGACCACCUUCGAAAGAUUAAAAUAGGCAGGAAUGGCAGCCUGCCCUCCAAAACAACAAGUAGACUAGGAAUGUUAGAUAGAAUUUUAUAGCAUCAUUAAUUGUCCCUUAUGGUUAGGGACUGUUUCGGGCAAGUUAAAACUUUCAAUAAUUUUAACUAUUUUAAAUGUUAAUCUUUCUAAAUUGUAGGAUAUACUUCCUCAGUUAACAUAUUAAUCAUAAUAUUUUUGCUGAUCAGUUGUACAGUAGUUAUAGUUUGUGGGAUAUAAAACUGAAAGGAUACUCAUCCUCAUACCCAGGAAAAUACUGUUAAGAAAGCCAUUUACUUGUUGCUAAUGUAAGGUUAGUAGUACAUAACCGUGUAAUCUGUAAGAUAGUAUGACAUUUCUGCCUUUCUGCAAAAUUACUGAAUCAAAGUUUGAAGUAGUGCGUUCUUUAAUGGAUUUUAUUUAUAAAAUCAUCUUUACUGUAAUCUGUGUUCCUUGACUUUUCAUCAACAUUGAAAACAUUUUCUCUUAAUUUUUUCUCAUUAACAUAAUGAACCAUAUUCAUUUCUUGGUCAGUUGUGAGCCAUUCUUUUAUUCCACUUGGAUUGUUCAUUUUAAGUGAAGGAGGCGGAGCCUUUAAUGUAUACGCAGACAUUUUUUAAAUAAUAACAGGAUAUUUCUUAGUCUAGAGCUUGUAAAUUCUUUAAUAUAAGGAGUUUUAUAGGAUUAAACAGUAGUUUCUCUGCGUUUCAGUUAACUAUUUAACUUUAUCAGAGUUUCAGGCAUAUCCAAAACACUGAAAGCACCUGCAUAGUGAAUCAAUGAAAAAAGAAAAGUUUUCCUCAUUUUGCAUUUUGAACUCUGAAUAAUAUUUCUAUCUACACAGCAGCCCAGAAAACAAUAAAAGUAUCACUUCAUAUAACAUUGCAUCGUUCCUGGAUUCUCUACAGUUGUUUAGUUCUCCUCAAGUAAGCAUAUGCUUCUGAGACAUUCUUUUACUUCAGGUAAAUAUAAGCAAAACAAAGAAAAAUCAUUUUGUCUAUUUCUGCAUCAGUUCUAUAAGGAGCAAGUAAAUUCUUUUAUUUUCGUUUAGGUUGGAUGUUGUCAUAUAAGGAUAGAUGGUAGUGUUCAACGUGUUCAAGAUGGGUAGUAGGAAUUCAAUGGCCAUGAGGUGUCAUGGAUCAAGGUCAGGUUUAGUGAAUCAGGUACUCUUCAGUAACAGGUGGUUCAUACAAAGCAUUGAAGCUUAAAGUUGCUGUGAGUUCAGCAAGCAGGAGGGUUGAGAAGACAGGCAGAUGGUUUAAAACUAAAGGUCAAUAAGUGGGCAAGACUAGUUAAAUGAGGCAGAUACUCCCCAAAGAUGGAAUUCCAGAAAGGUGCUUGAAAAGGACUGAAUUCUUAAAGCCUACUGCUGUUAGUAUGUAGAGUUCUUGAGGAAACAAGCAGUUUGGCAUAACUUAAUCUACUAAGAAACUAUAAGAAGGUGAAGGAAGUUGGAACAUCUUACUGGAAAAAGAAUGAGGGAGUGAAGAGGGAAUCUUGUGAAUUCAAAACUUGCAGAAAAGCUAUUCUGUUUCCUUUUUGUUUAGGUUCUCAUGCACUAGCAGCUGCUAGAAUAGAUAUUGGAAGGCAGGGCCAAAAUAGGUCAGUUGUUCAGUUUUGCAAGAUUAUUGAGGAUAUAGAGAAAUUAAUUUGUGAAAACUCUGAAAUCAUCUGCAGCUCCAUGUUUUUGUUUGAACUGAAUAACUUAGGACUUUGAGAAGUCAAAGCCGUCAGAAAGUAACAUGAAGUCCAUUCAGCUGAAUAAAUGUCAUAUUUUGCUAUUAGCAUAGAAAAGAAUCUUUAAAACUUCUUUCCAAAAAGCACUCAGUAUUGACCCAUAUGUUCCAGUAUAGUUGUGAACCAUGUACAACUGAUGUUUGACUUAUUUGACUCAACAUGAAAGGAAUUUAACCAGCUGCCCUUGCUGAAUCUUGUCUCCUGAAUAUGCCUUCACAGUUGUUGAUCACAUAGCAUGGUCAUCCACUCACAGCUUAAAAAAAUACAGGGAGCAUCGGAGAGAAUGGGUUCAAUGUAUCUAUGCCUGCCUACCUCAAUCUGCAAGGGAGUGUCAGAAAGGCCCCGCAUUCGCCAAGCCGUGAGUUAUCGCUAACUUUUCAGAUGUGUUAAUGAAUGUGGAACAAAAGCAGUUGUGUUUAAAAGGAAAAAGGACCAUCAAAAU
rnacentral:lncRNA from 1 species